UAGAAUUACAAUGAAAAUUUCCUUUCAUUCUUUUUUCAGCUGUUGAAAGGUUUGCUCAUGAGGACAAGGGUGAUUUUGCAACUUCACUAAAGCAUUUUAGGUAAGAACCAUAUCCUCGAAUUGCUCUUUUGGACCGAAAUUAAACCUUUUGUGUGAUGGUUUAUCAUAUGAUUGAGUUCUAUGUUUGAACUUAUAAAUUCGUUCAUGGUGGAUUUGAAUUGCCACUCAGUGUUGCUUGAGUGAAGUUGAUAAUUGUGUGCAUUGUAAGAUUCACAAUUCUUAUUAGAUGUUUUAAAUGUAAUGAACAAAAACUAUAACAUGUAGCCUGUUAUUUCUGUCUUUAUUAUACUUCUAUGACCUAUAGCUGUUUAUAGAUUAUUACUGCUUCUAUAGCUUCUCCAUUAGAUUAUCUUGAUUCUAUAACAAACUUGCUCAUUAGGUCGUUAGGUUAUCUUAUUCUAUUUAUAGGUCAUUAGGUGUUCAUAGGUUAUUUAAAUUUGGUUUGUGCAGUUUAUUUGGCCUUAAUUCUAUAACAAUAGCCAUUGUCUUCGCCAAAAUUUUCUCAUUUGUCUCCAUUACCGCAUACCAUUUACCAUAUUUAUGGCUACAAAAUCAACACCCCUUGAUUUGAUUCUGUUCAAGCUCAAGUGUUGGCUUAAUUCUCUUAUAACUAUUUAAUAAUUGUCACAAUUGUUCUGAAUUUAUUCAAUAGAUUGAGUUUAUACUUUUGUCCAUCAGAUUAAUACAAUGCUUGAUGUAUCUAGACUGUUGUUUGUCAUAUUGUAUUUUUUAACUUAAUUAUGUCAUAAUAGUUAUUGCUCCCACCCAAAAUUUUCCAUUUAUAUACACUUAUAUACACUAACACCUGCCAUUUUCCAAAUUUAUGCCAACAGAGUCAAAACCUCUACAGAGGAGGAGAAAGAAUGUAAGCCACCUGUACAGCAGAGCUAGCAAGACCUAGACCCCCUUCCACCACCCAGUACCAUAUAUAUAAACACCUGCCCAAACUCUUUUGAACAAUGAGCAACUAAAGGUUGCCCAUAUUUUGAUGUUUUUAUAACUGCUUGAUCUAUUAAAAUAUGUCCAAUAUUUUGUAACUUAAACUUGCUAAACUAAGCAUGAUACCACUAUUUACAUCUCCAUGUUUAUAUAAAUAUUGCCAUUUUCCCUGCAUAUUUUUACUACUUUAUACGCAUUUCACAUGAUUUCAAAACCCGCAGCAUCGCGAAGGCACCAUUGCUAGUAAAUCCUAAGAAACUAAAGAGAAGAUCUCCUUGUUACAGGUCCAAAUACACUUGGAUUUAAAGAAGUGAAAGCAAGAAGUUCCGCUUCACAUUCAAAUAAGGCCAUGUCUUCCUCACUUAAACUUACCCAUGCAUCCACUCCAUAACCCUCCUUUGUGUCAAUCAAAGUAGCAACAUUAUUGAGUAUAUCACCAGGUAUGCUCACCCAAAUUG
rnacentral:lncRNA from 1 species